rnacentral:tmRNA from 1 species
GCACUUCACAUUCAGGAUGGACGCGCUAUAUGGGCAGGGCCGGUUUCGACCGGAUAUGGCGAUAAAUUGCGCCGUGCAAUAGGUACAGCGGACCCGGGGGCAGUACCCGGCGGCUCCACCAAAAUUCGCAGUUUUCUGCGGAUCCUGAUGGGGCCGAACCAGGAUCGACGUGUGCUGAAAGACGGUGUUUUUGCUCGGGCUGAGUAACCCGUAAAACUGUUCACAACACACAAGUGCCAACGAUAACGAAGCACUCGCAAUCGCUGCGUAAUUUGAUGUCCUAACGGACUGAAUUUACAAAGCUAAAGCGCGGUUGGACCGACCGGGCAACAGAACGGAUUCCGG